CAGACAGCAACUUUUAUUUUCCCCAGCCACCAUAGCCCCACUCAAUAUGACAUUUAGACAGAUGAGCCAGCAAUACAGUAGUUACAUGUGUCUGGGAUUUGUUUUUUAAAUUAUAUGUACCGCUUUUAAUAGCCUGAUUACAGCUGUUCAGUAAGUGAUGCCUCUAGACUGAAGAGGACCGAAAUGAGAAGCAGGCCAGCUAAGAGGGCUGGGAGCAGCACGUUCCCCUUGUUAUUGCCAGCUAGUGGGGAGAGAACAUAUGGCCACUUUACAAAGUUAAGAAUCACAAACAGCAGACAAGAAUGAAUGAUUAAUGCUGGAGUUCCUGGAGUAUGGGCCAAAGAAGUUCCCCCAAACCUUACAAACAGAAACACAUGCCUCUGCCAGUCCCCACAUGGGAUCCCAGAUGAGAAACCUCUCAAGGAGAAUAACAAAAUGCAGUUGGAAUCAAAGUGUAUGAAGCCUCCCAGACACACCCAGCAGGAGUCACCAGGAAGCAGCUGGGAAGAGGCUGACAGCCCACCAGCAAUGAGACCACAGGAGCUGCUGCUCCCGGGAGGGAGUCUGCUGUCAUCCUCCACUUGCUAGAGUUCUCCCUCCUCUCUGCUUGUUACACACUGCUUCCCUGCUCUAGAGCUUGCUCCAGAGAUGACUUCAACAGAACAGAGUGGCUCUUCCUUACUUGAAACACAGAUCCAUUGUACCUGUGGCUUUGGCUCUGGAUUGUCUUUCUACUUAGAGGAGAACAAGGGUGUGACUGAGCCACAUGAUGGAAAGUAAAGACUAUUGUGACCAUGAAAUUUGGAAGCCAAGCAUAGGAUACCAGGAGAGGUUGGAUAGAAGCAAGAUUUAUCAGAAUUAGCCUUGGAAUCUCUGACUCAAGUAUGGACUAUCAUCAGCCAUUAGCACCAGACAAAAUGCAGCCACUGACAAUCUUCUGGGAUGCCGCUAAGUAUACUUGACCUAACAACUACCAGUAAAACUUUCUGACAUGUGCUUUGAUUCUAGAUUAUCAACUAAGAAUUCAGGGAAACAUUCUACUAAAUAACAUGUCCUAUGUAAGUGAGAUAAUUAUAACAGCCUCCUCACUAGGUUAUGGGCCCCCAAAUUUGUACUUUUCAGAUCUUUCUUCUACGUUGCAGUCAGACACAGAUUUGAUCACGCCACACCAUUGCUCAGAAUUCUUUGGAUGCAACUUACUGCCUAUAGGAUGAAGACCACACUCAGGCAUUUCCUUGAAUGCUGACACAAUCCUACCCCAACCUACCUCACGAUCUUCCUACUGCAUGCAUGCUCCCUUCAGAUCUAAUUGGCUUUUUUUCACUAAUGCCUGCACUUGACCUAAGUGAAGAUUCUGAAGCAGGAGAGAAACUGGUUUUCUAGGCCUAUCUUGAGUCUCUUUUAUCAUUGACCAUCUUUCGCUACCACAAAAGAAUCAUAUUCUAUUGCACAAGACCUAGUGGGCCUCAUUUAAGAUUUUGAACAUUAUUCCAACAAAAUUCCUAAAAUUUUAAGUUUGUACUUAUAUCAUAAAGCUAGACCUUGCAUUUAAAACUCACCUUUAGAAAACUUGCUUUAAAAAAACAAAAACAAGUAAUUUUGAUGAAUUUGGAAAUUCUGUGACUUAAUCUUAUCUGUUAUCUGAGUAAGAGUUUAAGCAACAGUGACACUGGAAAAUAAAAUGAUAUUUAUGUAUAAAACAAUGAUAAUACUAUAGAAUGUCAUCUUUCAGGGUAACAUUUGUUGAGUUACAGAACUGAUUCAUUGAUUGCACUAAAGUUAUACCAUUGAAUAACUUGCAUGGAGGGAAACCAGAAUUAUAACCACGGGUAAAAAUUGAUAUAUUAGAGGUGAAUUUUGGAAGAAAUAAAAAUGUAGAAGGCAAUUAUAAGGGGAGCACUUAAAUUAGGUAUGAAUGGUUUAUGCUAUUGAUUAAAGCAUUUUAAAAAUCAAUAAAAGAACACUUUGUACCAAGUAGCUUUCAGGAACUUUCAGGGAAGACCAUUUGAUUCAGUUCAAAAGUCAGAAGCCUCUGCCCUAACAGGUAAAAAGCG
rnacentral:lncRNA from 1 species